AUUGAACGCUGGCGGCAUGCCUUACACAUGCAAGUCGAACGGUAACGGGCCUUCGGGUGCCGUCGAGCGGCGAACGGGGGCGGAAUACAUCGGAACGUGCCCGAUCGUGGGGGAUAACGGGGCGAAAGCUUUGCUAAUACCGCAUACGAUCUACGGAUGAAAGCAGGGGACCGCAAGGCCUUGCGCGGACGGAGCGGCCGAUGGCAGAUUAGGUAGUUGGUGGGAUAAAAGCUUACCAAGCCGACGAUCCGUAGCUGGUCUGAGAGGAUGAUCGGCCACACUGGGACUGAGACACGGCCCAGACUCCUACGGGAGGCAGCAGUGGGGAAUUUUGGACAAUGGGCGCAAGCCUGAUCCAGCCAUGCCGCGUGCAGGAUGAAGGCCUUCGGGUUGUAAACUGCUGUUGUACGGAACGAAAAGCCUUCUUUUAAUACAGGAGGGUCAUGACGGUACCGUAAGAAUAAGCACCGGCUAACUACGUG
rnacentral:rRNA from 1 species